rnacentral:rRNA from 1 species
GAUGAACGCUGGCGGCGUGCCUAAUACAUGCAAGUCGAGCGAACGGACGAGAAGCUUGCUUCUCUGAUGUUAGCGGCGGACGGGUGAGUAACACGUGGAUAACCUACCUAUAAGACUGGGAUAACUUCGGGAAACCGGAGCUAAUACCGGAUAAUAUUUUGAACCGCAUGGUUCAAAAGUGAAAGACGGUCUUGCUGUCACUUAUAGGUGGAUCCGCGCUGCAUUAGCUAGUUGGUAAGGUAACGGCUUACCAAGGCAACGAUGCAUAGCCGACCUGAGAGGGUGAUCGGCCACACUGGAACUGAGACACGGUCCAGACUCCUACGGGAGGCAGCAGUAGGGAAUCUUCCGCAAUGGGCGAAAGCCUGACGGAGCAACGCCGAGUGAGUGAUGAAGGUCUUCGGAUCGUAAAACUCUGUUAUUAGGGAAGAACAUAUGUGUAAGUAACUGUGCACAUCUUGACGGUACCUAAUCAGAAAGCCACGGCUAGCUACGUG